UCUCGGCCUCCCAAAGUGCUGGGAUUACAGGCUUGAGCCACCGCGCCUGGCCAGAAACAUCUUAAACCACAAUUGUAAUAUUAUAACUCUUACCAAAUGGGACGGCUUCAAAAAAUGAACCCGAAAACUUAAUUUCUGUGAGUUUCUUACAGGAAGCAAGUACAGUCAUGAGAGACUCAAAAUCCGAAAAGGAGUUACACUUCAGAUGGAAAACAUGAAGUCUUUUCCAGUGAACUCUGAUGAAGUGUUCCACCAAAAUGAGUGAGUGAACCAAGAAGAGGAUGACAUUAGAUCCGGGAGAUACAACAGAGGAGAUAAUCUCCAGGAUGCCUGUGAAGAAAGAUCCCUGGAUCCCAGGAUGAUUAUAGGACAAGUUGUUCAUAAUCCAGCAGGCCAGAAGAUUUCCAGGGAAACUCAUUCAAGAAGGUGAAAAUUAUGGAUGACUGCUUCAAGAUGAAAAUGGGCCAAGCACAGCGGCUCACGCCUGUAAUUCCAGCACUUUGGGAGGUUGAGGUGGGUGGAUCACCUGAGGUCAGGAGUUCCAGACUAGCCUGGCCAACAUGGCAAAACCCCAUCUCUAUUAAAAAUACAAAAAUUAGCCAGGCAUAGUGGUGCACGCCUGUAGUCCCAGCUACUUGGGAUGCUGAGGCAGGGAGAAUUGCUUGAACCUGGGAGGCAGAGGUUGCAGUGAGCCAAGAUCAUGCCACUGUACUCCAGCCUGGGUGACAGAACAAGACUCCAUCUCAAAGAAAAAAAAAAAGACAAAUAUGAUGAUGACUCUUUCAGGAAAUGAAAAUGAUGAGAUAUCUGGUAGGUCUGGAUGACUUAAGAGGAGAUUUAAACAUUUGGGAUAAUUUAAAGAUGAGCUGGUGUUCGUCUUUAUUUACUUAAAUAAAUGAAAUGAUUAAUAUGUGAA